rnacentral:lncRNA from 1 species
CCUCAGUAUUCUUAUGUGUACAGUUUGGGGGAAGAUGGCUGAGAAACUAAACAAAUAUAAGGCUUGUUUUGUUGUUUUCCAGGAGAUUUCUUGGAGCUGCUGGAAGUAGAUAGCACUUCUGAAAAUGUCAGCAAUGGAGAACUUCACUGUGAGGAAUAUGGGAUAAGGUUUCACUGAGCGUCCCUGUGCAGCUGCAGACCUGCUGCUGGAAACGGGAAUUCAUCUGGACACAGACCUUUGUUCCCAGAUUCUGUGUGUCACAAGGGGAAUUGCUUAUUCCACUCACCAGAGGUCAGAACACGAACAGGAAGCACAGAGAAGGGCUCCCAGCUCAUCAGAUUUUUGUUCCCAAAGACCUCACAGGUGAUGGUUUAUCAAGGUUUGGAUCACGCACCAGCUCAUCCCCGUGUGACAAAGGCUUUUGUCAGCCAUGAGUCCUGCUGCUGUUUCAUCAGAGCUCUCCACACUCACACAUGGUUCUUGUAUCUGAUUUAUUUCUGCUAUGCUGUAUUUCAGUAAUUUUUCUGUAAUUGCAUCAGAUGGGGAAAAUACCAAAAGAAAAGGUUUUUAUUAGCUAACGCACAAAUGUUUUGUCCAUAGUCAGGAGAUGUAGCAGGAUCAUGGAUCUGUCAGGAUUUUGGAAAAGUGUGUGACCAGGGAAAGAAUGGUUAAUUUAUGUGUAAGUUAAUAUUGUUCAUAGAAUCAGCGCUCUGCAUGGACUCAAAUACCUUUCCAAAAUCUGAAAAAAUAGCAUCAGCAAAGAUUUCCAGCUUCUUCACUUGGAUCUGAUUUUUCGAAAACCUCCGAAUUUGAACUUACCCAUUUGGGUUAACCUAUAAGAGCAACCAAAGACACCCGCAAGGCUAGAAAUUUUAAAUUCCAGGAGCUUGUGGUUACACUGAUGAGUAUAGAAUUUAGGGAUCUUCUUAGUUUUAGGAAAUUUUCAGCUUCUAGGUUACUGCAGCUUUCACUAAUAAUUUUAAACUAAUUUAACAAUUUUUU